rnacentral:rRNA from 1 species
UACGUAGGGGGCAAGCGUUGUCCGGAAUUAUUGGGCGUAAAACGCUUGUAGGUGGCUACGUCAAGUCGGACGUGAAAUCUCCCGGCUUAACUGGGAGGGGUCGCUCGAUACUGGCGAGCUCGAGGCAGGUAGGGGGAAGCGGAAUUCCCGGUGUAGUGGUGGAAUGCGUAGAUAUCGGGAGGAACACCAGUGGCGAAGGCGGCUUCCUGGACCUGUUCUGACACUGAGGAGCGAAAGCGUGGGGAGCGAUCCGG